AGCGAACGCUGGCGGCAGGCCUAACACAUGCAAGUCGAACGAACUCUUCGGAGUUAGUGGCGGACGGGUGAGUAACACGUGGGAACGUGCCUUUAGGUUCGGAAUAACUCAGGGAAACUUGUGCUAAUACCGAAUGUGCCCUUCGGGGGAAAGAUUUAUCGCCUUUAGAGCGGCCCGCGUCUGAUUAGCUAGUUGGUGAGGUAAAGGCUCACCAAGGCGACGAUCAGUAGCUGGUCUGAGAGGAUGAUCAGCCACAUUGGGACUGAGACACGGCCCAAACUCCUACGGGAGGCAGCAGUGGGGAAUCUUGCGCAAUGGGCGAAAGCCUGACGCAGCCAUGCCGCGUGAUUGAUGAAGGUCUUAGGAUUGUAAAAUUCUUUCACCGGGGACGAUAAUGACGGUACCCGGAGAAGAAGCCCCGGCUAACUUCGUG
rnacentral:rRNA from 1 species